GAUGAACGCUGGCGGCGUGCCUAAUACAUGCAAGUCGAGCGAACAGACGAGGAGUUUGCUCCUCUGACGUUAGCGGCGGACGGGUGAGUAACACGUGGAUAACCCACCUAUAAGACUGGGAUAACUUCGGGAAACCGGAGCUAAUACCGGAUAAUAUCUUGAACCGCAUGGUUCAAUAGUGAAAGACGGUUUUGCUGUCACUUAUAGAUGCAUCCGCGCUGCAUUAGCUAGUUGGGAAGGUAACGGCUUACCAAGGCAACGAUGCGUAGCCGACCUGAGAGGGUGAUCGGCCACACUGGAACUGAGACACGGUCCAGGCUCCUACGGGAGGCAGCAGUAGGGAAUCUUCCGCAAUGGGCGAAAGCCUGACGGAGCAACGCCGCGUGAGUGAUGAAGGUCUUCGGAUCGUAAAACUCUGUUAUUAGGGAAGAACAAAUGUGUAAGUAAAUAUGCACGUCUUGACGGUACCUAAUCAGAAAGCCACGGCUAACUACGUG
rnacentral:rRNA from 1 species